UCAUCUCUCCUUUGUCUUUGUUGCCAUUUAAGUCUCCUGCAAGACUUCUCUCCCCUCUUUGUCUCUCUCAUCAAAUUAAAUUCAUAUCCACCAAACCCAUUUAUCUCCAUCAAAGCCAUUCCUUUUCUGUUGAUAGUGUUCUUUUUACUUUCUAAUGAUCAUAUGAAUAACAUAUAUUGGGUGAUUCAUUAGAUAUCAUAUGUACUUUUUUUAGAGACGUAGAUAAUUCAUUUGUUUAUCAAAUCUACUAGUAUGAUUGGUGGGUUUGAACAAAGAGAGAGAGAGAGAUUCGAUGAGAAAGAGAUCGGAGAAGGAGAUCGGAGAGAGAGAGAAAGACGGCGGUAAAGGUGGGUGUACUUCGGAGCUCCGAUCUGGUCAGCGACGACAAUAAGUUUCAGUCCGGCUUAUUAUUGGCUGCAAAUUAAACGGGCCGGUGCCGGAACCACCGGCGGCGGUGACGGUGGUUCCGACCAUGGCUGUGAUGGAGGUGAUUAGUGUGAAAUUUGGUACGGCUUGGUCUCGGUUUUGUUGGAUUGAUUACCUGUUAUUUGCCAUUUGUUCGAGUCUUUGGUUUUGCUGGAUUUAUUUACCUUUAGCUGUGUCUUUUACCAUUGCUUGAGUCUUCUGUUUGUUGGCUUCGAUGUCGACUGUUUUUUAUAGGUGACCAAUUUGCAAGCGUUGCCGGUGCUUUUUUGGUAGAUUUCGCACAGUGAACUAUGAGGGUUUUGGUCCGUUUGGAUUUUUGGGCGGUGAUGAUGCAAAAAAAAAAAAAAAAAAAACGUAUAUUUUGAUGACGAUGGCGCGGCAUGGUUGAUGGAUGGUAGAUUUUUAAACCUGCAACCCCACUUUGCAGCCUCUGAUUAUCGGAAAAAUCUGAGCCAAACUCCGUUUUUUUCAAGAAUUCAAACAUUGUUUUGAUUUUUCUUGUUGAUUUUUUAUUUUUUUUCCCAGUCGAUGAUGAUAACAAUCUAUCUGAGACACCUACCGAGUUGCGAUUUCUGGGUGCGUUCGUUUUGUGUAGAAAAGUUUUUGAGAAAAAAGCUAAAACCGUAAACUUUUUAACGUAAAACGUAAAUUUUUUAACGUAAAACGUAAAGUUUUUAACGUAAAACGUAAAGUUUUUAACGUAAAAGUUAAAACCGUAAAUUUUUCAACGUAAAACGUAAAUUUUUUAACGUAAAACGCAAAAAGUUUAACGUAAAAAGUAAAAACGUAAAACGUAAAAACUUUAACGUAAAACGUAAAAAGUUUUACGUAAAACGUAAAAAGUUUUAUGUAAAACGUUAAACGUAAAAAGUUUUACGUAAAACGUAAAAAUUUUAACGUAAAACGUAAAAAGUUUAUCGUAAAACUUAAAAUGUAAAAAGUUUAAAAAGUUUUAACGUAAAAUGUAAAAAGUGUAAAAAAUGACGCGUUAAAAAAACGUGAAAAAACGGCGUGUUAAAACGUCGUGUAAAAAACGACGUGUAAAAAACGUGUAAAAAAACGUGUAAAAAACGGCGCGUUUAAAAACGUGUAAAAAACGACGCUUGAAAAAAUGGCGCGUAAAAAACGACGCGUUAAAAAAAACGACGCGUUAAAAAAAACGACGCGUUAAAAAAAAACGACGCUUGAAAAACCCAGCGUGCAAAAACCGGCGCUCAAAAAAAUUUGUCUUGUUAAAAAAAUUUUAAUGUAAAAAUUCUUUUAAUAAAAAAUUAUUUUUAAAAAACAAAAAGUAAUAAAAUAAAACAAAAAAGUAAUAAAAAAUAAUAAAGCCAAAAUAGAGUAUUUUUACUAAAUUACCCUUUUGGAUUAAAAUAUUAAAGAAAUAAUAAGAUAAAAUGUAUUUAAUAUUCAUUUUAGUUACUUUUAAUCUCAUCCAUCCAUCUUCUUGAUCUAAUGGUUAGGAACUGGUUCUCGCGGUUUUUACAACUGGAGGUGGUUUUCAUUUUAGCGGUCCCAUAUAUAUAUAUAUAUAUAUAUAGUGUGGGGUUCAUUGGGGAACACCAAAAAAGUGGGGAACAGGGGAACACCCUUGGAUUAAGUUAAUCAAGGGCUGAGAUUAUAGAUCAAAUUUUUUAAGUCUAAAAAACGCGGAGGGGCAUUAUUGUCAUUUUGAAAAGUUUCAAUUAGGUCAUUCACAUAUCCUCCAUCGUCCCUUUCCCAUCUGCCUUCCCCACCGCCGCCGCCACCACCUCUCGCCGUCGUCCGUCCUUCACGUUUUCUGUUCAAAUACACAUGCUGUAUUUAAAACCUGAUCUGCACCACAGAAAUCGCGAUCUGUAUAGCCAUAAAAAUUACACAACGAAGGAUUAUGCUCUUUGUGAAUGUCGCCUGUGAAUCGAUUACAUGUGCAUUUGGCUUGUAUAUUUGGUGUGCUGGUGCUGAUCCAGCAGAUGCAGGGGUUUUCAAGUCCAGAAAGUAUUGUAAAACCCCCAACAGCCAAACAAAUGCUAGAAAAGAAGGGUCAAACCAUGGUGGAGAAUCGCUAACUAAAGACGCAAAUGAUGAGAGGUCUAAAGCCGUAAAAGCCACGUUGUCACCGUCUUGUUUAAUGGUUGUUUUGUGUCUGAUUCCUCGUGCUCUCACGUAUCAUUGUUCGAGUUUAGAAGAGGAGUCUUCUCAACACCAAACAAGUGAAGAUGGCAUGUUUUACUGCAGUUUGUGCGAGGUUGAGGUUUUCAAGUACAGCAAGCACUGCAGAUGGCUCAAUAACUGUGUUGGGAAGAAAAUCUAUAAGAAGUUCUUCACACUUAUGGUCUCUGCUCUUCUCGUAGUAUGGUCUAACCUCUUAUACUACAAUGGUCAACCGGGAUUGUUGUAUUGAUAAGUUGCGCCAUCGACCACGAGAGAUACAAAUCUGAAGUAGCUUCAAAGUUAGGAAGCAAUUUCAAAUUAGCUCCUUAUGUUGCAGUUGUGGCAGUAUGCACGAUUUUGGCGAUGAUUGCAACGCUACCGCUUAUCCAGCUCUUCUUCUUUCACCUUCUUCUCAUAAAGAAGGGAAUUAGCACAUAGAUUAUAUCAGAGCAUUAAGGGAGCAGGAGCAACAAGGAUUUGGGGGCCCACAAAGUCCUCAAACGUCGCCAGCUAGCUCGCUCACGGGUUUCAGCAGUGUCAGUUCUUUCAAUACUUUCCGCCAAGGCGCGUGGUGUACUCCUCCACGUCUGUUCGUUGAAGAUCAUGUCAUUUUCAAUAAGGUAUGAUGUGGUCCCACCUGAGACCAGUUCAGUUAGCUCACUAGGGAAAAAGACACUUGAUGACCCCAUCAAGAAAAAGAAUUCCACAUCCGUGAAGAUCAGCCCAUGGACCUUAGCCCGUUUAAACGCAGAAGACGUCUCAAGAGCCGCAGCAGAGGACAACAAAAGAUUGCAAAAAUGAGUAAAAACAUGCUUUGAAAGAGACACAAUUCAGACAUGUGGAUGCUUUAGUUAUACAUGUUGUCGAUGAUCUUAGUUUCUAAUAGUUUUACAUGUAAAAUAAACCAGGAGAAUCGUAAAUUCAUAUAAGAGACAUGGAUUCUUAAGUAAUACAUGUUUUACAUGCCAUAUAUCAUGUUUUUACAAGUUUUGAAUAUUCAAAGAAACUAUAUCAUUUCACAA